ACGGAAGGCAACAGUGGGGAAUAUUGCACAAUGGGCGCAAGCCUGAUGCAGCGAUGCCGCGUGAGGGAAGAAGGUUUUCGGAUUGUAAACCUCUGUCAACAGGGACGAAAAUGACGGUACCUGUGAAGGAAGCUCCGGCUAACUACGUGCCAGCAGCCGCGGUAAUACGUAGGGAGCAAGCGUUAUCCGGAAUUACUGGGUGUAAAGGGAGUGUAGGCGGGACUGUAAGUCAGAUGUGAAAUAUGCCGGCUCAACUGGCAGACUGCAUUUGAAACUGCGGUUCUUGAGUGAAGUAGAGGCAAGCGGAAUUCCUGGUGUAGCGGUGAAAUGCGUAGAUAUCAGGAGGAACACCGGUGGCGAAGGCGGCUUGCUGGGCUUUUACUGACGCUGAGGCUCGAAAGCGUGGGUAGCAAACAGGAUUAGAUACCCUGGUA
rnacentral:rRNA from 1 species